CACGUAGGGUGCAAGCGUUGUUCGGAUUCACUGGGCGUAGAGCGCACGCAGGUGGCUGUGUAAGUCGGGUGUGAAAUCCCCUAGCUUAACUAGGGAACUGCAUUCGAUACUGCAUGGCUCGAGUUCGGGAGAGGGAAGCGGAAUUCCUAGUGUAGAAGUGAAAUUCGUAGAUAUUAGGAGGAACACCGGUGGCGAAGGCGGCUUCCUGGCCCGAUACUGACACUCAGGUGCGAAAGCGUGGGGAGCAAACAGG
rnacentral:rRNA from 1 species